rnacentral:lncRNA from 1 species
CCCGUCCGCAGGUAAGCGACUGCGCCUGCGCAGGGAGCAGCUGCCGGAAGCGGCCGUCCGCGCUCCUGCUUCCGGUUUGGUGGCCGCACCUGUGAUUUCAAGUCAGAACGUGCACCUGAAGCAGAGCACACUGUAUUCGCCCGUAGCACAGUGUCUAGCCCAUAUGUCGUCAGCAGGUGGCUGGAGGAUUACUGGCAUGAGAAUAUGAGCCAAAAACCUGUGCUGAUGAAUUCACAUUUGUGAAACUGUACGAACUGUGAUGCUAGAGUUGAGAGAUAGAUAAACCA